rnacentral:rRNA from 1 species
UACGUAGGGCGCAAGCGUUGUCCGGAAUUAUUGGGCGUAAAGAGCUCGUAGGCGGUUUGUCGCGUCUGCUGUGAAAACCUAAGGCUCAACCUUGGGCUUGCAGUGGGUACGGGCAGACUAGAGUGCGGUAGGGGUGACUGGAAUUCCUGGUGUAGCGGUGGAAUGCGCAGAUAUCAGGAGGAACACCUAUAGCGAAGGCAGCUCGCUGGGACGACACUGACGCUGAGACGCGAAAGCGUGGGGAGCGAACAGG